AAAACGUACAUAACUUAUCUAAACUAUAGACAAUUUUUAAUCGACUACUCAGCUUUUCAAAAAUUUUAAUUUUACUAUCAAACCUUUCAAUUUGUUUGAUUUAACUUAGUCAAUAAUAUUGUGAGUUCAAAAUUUAAGCUAAUUACUUACUUCAAUAUUUAUAGUUUGCAAGAAUUAUAUGAGAUCAAUAUACUAAUUAAAUAUGUAAAGAUAAAUGACAUGUUAAAAUUUUAAAAUGAAAAGUAUCAUUGACUAACUUAAAU
rnacentral:lncRNA from 1 species